rnacentral:rRNA from 1 species
UGGGGAAUUUUGGACAAUGGGCGAAAGCCUGAUCCAGCAAUGCCGCGUGUGUGAAGAAGGCCUUCGGGUUGUAAAGCACUUUUGUCCGGAAAGAAAUCCUUGGCUCUAAUACAGUCGGGGGAUGACGGUACCGGAAGAAUAAGCACCGGCUAACUACGUGCCAGCAGCCGCGGUAAUACGUAGGGUGCAAGCGUUAAUCGGAAUUACUGGGCGUAAAGCGUGCGCAGGCGGUUUGCUAAGACCGAUGUGAAAUCCCCGGGCUCAACCUGGGAACUGCAUUGGUGACUGGCAGGCUAGAGUAUGGCAGAGGGGGGUAGAAUUCCACGUGUAGCAGUGAAAAUGCGUAGAGAUGUGGAGGAAUACCGAUGGCGAAGGCAGCCCCCUGGGCCAAAUACUGACGCUCAUGCACGAAAAGCGUGGGGGAGCAAACAGGAUUAGAUACCCUGGUAGUCCACGCCCUAAACGAUGUCAACUAGUUGUUGGGGGAUUCAUUUCCUUAGUAACGUAGCUAACGCGUGAAGUUGACCGCCUGGGGAGUACGGUCGCAAGAUUAAAACUCAAAGGAAUUGACGGGGGUCAUAGCUGUUUCCU